AUUGAACGCUGGCGGCAGGCUUAACACAUGCAAGUCGAACGAGUGGCGGACGUGUGAGUAAUAUUUGGGAAUCUGGCUUAUGGAGGGGGUUAACGACGGGAAACUGUCGCUAAUACCGCCUACCAUAGGAUGAGCCCAAGUGGGAUUAGGUAGGUGGUGGGGUAAUGGCCUACCAAGCCGACGAUCUCUACCGGGGCCGAGAGGAUGACCAGCCACACCGGGACUGAGACACGGUCCAUACUCCUACGGGAGGCAGCAGUGGGGAAUAUUGCGCAAUGGGGGCAACCUGACGCAGCCAUGCCGCGUGAAUGAAGAAGGCCUUCGGGUUGUAAAGUUCUUUCGGUGACGAAGCGUUAAUCACAUAAAAAGCACCGGCUAACUCCGUGCCAGCAGCCGCGGUAAUUC
rnacentral:rRNA from 1 species